GAGUUUGAUCGUGGCUCAGAGCGAACGCUGGCGGCAGGCCUAACACAUGCAAGUCGAACGGAUCCUUCGGGAUUAGUGGCGGACGGGUGAGUAACACGUGGGAACGUGCCCUUUGGUUCGGAACAACUCAGGGAAACUUGAGCUAAUACCGGAUGUGCCCUUCGGGGGAAAGAUUUAUCGCCAUUGGAGCGGCCCGCGUCUGAUUAGCUAGUUGGUGAGGUAAAGGCUCACCAAGGCUACGAUCAGUAGCUGGUCUGAGAGGAUGAUCAGCCACAUUGGGACUGAGACACGGCCCAAACUCCUACGGGAGGCAGCAGUGGGGAAUCUUGCGCAAUGGGCGAAAGCCUGACGCAGCCAUGCCGCGUGAAUGAUGAAGGUCUUAGGAUUGUAAAAUUCUUUCACCGGGGACGAUAAUGACGGUACCCGGAGAAGAAGCCCCGGCUAACUUCGUGCCAGCAGCCGCAGUAAG
rnacentral:rRNA from 1 species